rnacentral:rRNA from 1 species
AACGAACGCUGGUGGUGUGCCUCAUACAUGCAAGUCGUACGCGAAUCCUGCCGCAAGGCAGGGUUUGAGUGGCAAACGGGUGCGUAACACGUAGGUAAUCUUCCUUUGAGUUGGGGAUAAGCCCUCGAAAGGGGGUCUAAUACCGAAUAACACUUCGGGCCGGCAUCGGCCUGAAAUUAAAGAUGGCCUCUGCUUGCAAGCUAUCGCUCGGAGAUGAGCCUGCGGCCGAUUAGUUAGUUGGCGGGAUAAAAGCCACCAAGACUUCGAUCGGUAGCCGGUCUGAGAGGAUGUCCGGCCACACUGGGACUGAGAUA